CAGAGGUCCCAAGCGUUGUUCGGAUCCACUGGGCGUAAAGGGUGCGUAGGAGGCUGGGAAAGUCGGAUGUGAAAUCUCACCGCUUAACGGUGAAACUGCAUUCGAUACUACUCGGCUAGAGGAUCGGAGGGGAGAGCAGAAUUCUUGGUGUAGCGGUGAAAUGCGUAGAUAUCAAGAGGAAUACCAACAGCGUAGGCAGCUCUCUGGAAGAUUCCUGACUCUGAGGCACGAAGGCCAGGGGAGCAAACGGGAUUAGAUACCCCGGUAGUCCUGGCAGUAAACGGUGCUCAUUAGGUGUUGGUGGAUUCGACCCCAUCAGUGCCGGACCUAACGGAUUAAAUGAGCCGCCUGGGGAGUACGGUCGCAAGAUUA
rnacentral:rRNA from 1 species